AGGCCUGAUGAAGAGCCGAAAAGGGCGAGAAAAAGGUUUUACAUUUUAGAAUCAGAAUGUCGAACACAGAUCCACGGCGUACCACAAAGGAACUCCUCGAAGACAACCAUUUCGUCUCGGAGAUCUCUCGUCGCUGGCAAGCAGUCAGUGUCUUUGCCUUGGCCUUUUCCCGUUUCAUGUGAUUGCUGAAGAUGUUUAUUUAACACUUGUUAUCAUUUUCUAUUAUCUCUUCAAUUUGAUGUGUGCUACGCUGUGCUGCACUAUCAAGCAUCUGACAAAUUUUGACGAGGUUCAACGUUUAGCCUUACUUUCUUUCAUUCUUCUUGUUAGGUUUUUAUUGUUUGGGUAUUUUGAGUACAUUCACUGGCUUUGGGGAUAUUGAUGGUGUGAAUGGUAUGCAUAAUCAAUUCAAAUUUGGUUGGAGAGAAGUUUUCAUUCUGACUCUGUUAACAUUGUUAUGGACCCUGUCAAUCCAUGAUCUCCUUGGAACUCAUCAAAGUUGUUGAAAUUGAGCUUGAGCAGUGACUUUGGUUCUGGAUAGAAUAUAAUACAACGAUAAGUAGCAACAUGGCCCGGGCGUUCCCUUCUGUACAGCUACACAUACAACUUUUUCGUGGAAAAGUUAUGGAAUUUGUCAGAUAUCCCUUCACGUGGCACCAAGUUUGUUACUGUUACUGGUAGAAAACGUCUUGAUGAACAUUUUAUUUCUUCCCCUCUUUGGGCUGUAUUUAGCUGUUGAAUUUGAACUAUUUAAUGUUGGCCCGCACUUAUCUGAAAAUCUAGUUUGCUUUUAAUUUUUAAUUAUAAAAUUAUGCCAUUUUAUUAUUUAAA